CAGUCGCCACGGGAAAACGAAGGGGGCUAGCGUUGCUCGGAAUGACUGGGCGUAAAGGGCGCGUAGGCGGCACAUACAGUCAGAUGUGAAAUUCCUGGGCUUAACCUGGGGGCUGCAUUUGAUACGUAUGAGCUAGAGUGGGGAAGAGGGUUGUGGAAUUCCCAGUGUAGAGGUGAAAUUCGUAGAUAUUGGGAAGAACACCGGUGGCGAAGGCGGCAACCUGGUCCUUGACUGACGCUGAGACGCGAAAGCGUGGGGAGCAAACAGGAUUAGAUACCCCCGUAGUCCCUGUCUCUUAUAC
rnacentral:rRNA from 1 species